rnacentral:lncRNA from 7 species
GCUGCUGCUUUUUGUGUGCCCAGCCCCAUUUGCCCAGUCUGCCCGCCUCUGUGAUCCCCCGCAGCACUGGCUGGAAGUCCGCCGCGUGUCAGUGAGGAGCUGCUGCAGAAGGAAGAAGAAGCAGCGGCGUGGGGACCUGGGAGGCAGGAGCAAGCAAGAAGAGGAAGCGGAAGCGUGCAGAUGCGGGGGGGAAGGAGAGAGGCUCCCUGGGCAAAGCACCUGUCCCGUUAGCAGGGGCACAGUCACGUUUGAGUUGAGAGCUGCCGGCGCCUUUGGUGACCAGGCUGGCGUUGUGCUGGGCGACCUCCCCGUAAGCGGGGCUCGGGUCUUUGCUGUAGUUGGCCUUUUGCCUUGCUGCUCCUUUGGCUGCCUGGGGAGCGUGGCCCCCUGUAACGGAGGGCGAGAGCCACCCUGCCUGCCCGCCACCCGUGCAUGUGGUGAUGGAGCUCCGCCGGCCCCCCGCUGGCUUUACCUGAGAGCCCCUUGGCACGUUGAGGUCUGUGGCCUCCGUGCAGCCUAGGGACAGGUCCAGGCUCUUGUCUGUUGCCCGUGGUUGUGGGUUUAUUCCCAGGUGUUGGCUGUGCUGCGUUGUCCUUCCCUUCUGGAAGUCGUGCCUGUGUGUGCGUGUUCCCUUCCUUUCCUUGUUUGUGUUUGUGGAGUGGUUGAGCGGCUGUGCUUUCCCUUUAGGCCUCCACAAAGAUGGCUGCAGCUUAGCUUUGACUUCCCGGGGGAAUGGAGGACUUUGGUGCAUGC